UGGGGAAUCUUCCGCAAUGGGCGCAAGCCUGACGGAGCAACGCCGCGUGAGUGAAGAAGGUUUUCGGAUCGUAAAGCUCUGUUGAGAGGGACGAGAGAUAUAAUCAGGAAAUGGGUUAUAGAGGACGGUACCUUUCGAGGAAGCCACGGCUAACUACGUGCCAGCAGCCGCGGUAAUACGUAGGUGGCGAGCGUUGUCCGGAAUUAUUGGGUUUAAAGGGAGCGCAGGCGGUCUUAUAAGCGUGACGUGAAAUGCAGCGGCUCAACCGUAUGAUGUGCGUCGCGAACUGUGAGACUUGAGUGUAUUCGAUGUCAGCGGAAUUUGUGGUGUAGCGGUGAAAUGCUUAG
rnacentral:rRNA from 1 species